GAUGAACGCUAGCGGCAGGCUUAACACAUGCAAGUCGAGGGGUAGUCUCGUUUCGACGAGAUGAGACCGGCGCACGGGUGCGUAACGCGUAUGCAAUCUACCUAUUGCUGAGGGAUAGCCCAGAGAAAUUUGGAUUAAUACCUCAUAGUAUCUUGUUAACGCAUGUUAACGAGAUUAAAGAUUUAUCGGCAAUAGAUGAGCAUGCGUCCCAUUAGUUAGUUGGUAAGGUAACGGCUUACCAAGACAAUGAUGGGUAGGGGUCCUGAGAGGGAGAUCCCCCACACUGGUACUGAGACACGGACCAGACUCCUACGGGAGGCAGCAGUGAGGAAUAUUGGGCAAUGCUCGAGAGAGUGACCCAGCCAUGCCGCGUGCAGGAUGCACGGUCCUAUGGAUUGUAAACUGCUAUUAUACNGGAAGAAACAC
rnacentral:rRNA from 1 species